GAUGAACGCUGACAGAAUGCUUAACACAUGCAAGUCAACUGUGGCGGACGGGCGAGUAACGCGUAAAGAACUUGCCUCACAGCUAGGGACAACAUUGGGAAACGAAUGCUAAUACCUGAUACUGUGAGAGAGCUUGGCGUCCCAUUAGCUAGUUGGAGAGGUAAGGGCUCACCAAGGCGAGGAUGGGUAGCCGGCCUGAGAGGGUGCUCGGCCACAAGGGGACUGAGACACGGCCCUUACUCCUACGGGAGGAAGCAGUGGGGAAUAUUGGACAAGGGACCAAAGUCUGAUACAACAAUUCUGUGUGCACGAUGAAGUUUUCGGAAUGUACAGUGCUUUCAGUUGGGAAGCGGUACCAACAGAAGAAGUGACGGCUAAAUACGUGCCAGCAGCCGCGGUAAUAC
rnacentral:rRNA from 1 species